GGGGGGAGAGUAUGAGGGAUUUGAGAGUAUGAGCGGAAGGAAUAUAGACUAUUUAUUAACAGAAGGAAAAAGUUACAAAAGAGAAAACUAAAAAGUAAAGUAUUUGGUAAUUUACAAGAUGUCUAUACAAUUGAGCUUUCCUCCUUAUUUAUAGAGGAAUUCUAAAAAUUCUAUACAAUUGUAUUUUGAAUCCCGAACAGUGUUUCUGAUAAGGACUCGGCUUCUUUGUGGAUGUGUUUGCUUCCACGUUUCAUGUCUUUUUGCAUGGCUAUGGUUGCUUCCAUGUGUCAUGCUUGCAUUUAUGACCGCUGUUGUCACUGCUUGUGUCACAGCUGCUUUUGUCACCUCUUACAUCAUCAUUGUUUUGAUGAUAGAUUUUCUUGAUGUAUGACUUUUUGUCUUCAUCUAGAUGUCUUUAUCAAGCAUUAAUAUUGCUUCCAUCUUGCUUGCAUCAUCAAUCCAUUUUGAUGUGAUUUAUCAUUAAUGGUUGCUUCCAUCAUAAUUCAUCCCUCAAGAUGAUGAAUGGUAGAUAUAUCUUGAUGACAAUUUUCCCAUGUACUUCUGAUUUGUUGCAGAAUGUUAGAUGGAAAAUCUUCUAUGUUCAUAUCUGCUAUCUUUUUUAGCAGAUUGAUGCCUUCAUCACUUUGUUCAAUAAGAUAUGAAUGAUAUGCUAAUAUUCUUCUUCCAUCUGUUCUGAAUUGAUAAUUUCUUUCUUGAAGAAGAUAUUUAGCUUUAGCCAUUAAAUCAACACCGGCUUGGAUUUGAUAAUAGCUUAAAUUUUCUUGACACUUGUCAAUUGUUUUUGCCAAGUAUUCUUUAUCUUUAUUUACAGCUGAUAGUCGGGGGCUUCCGAGCAUUCUGCGAAUUUCUCAUAUUUGAUAUGGCUGAAAAAAUCUUUCUUUUUCAGAAAUACCAAUAAGAGUACUUAUUUGAAUAUAAAAAUAAUAGAAAAAGUCAUCAUUUUUUAUGAUGGUUUGUAGUAAAGAUUUGACAAGUGCUGGAAAAUCUUUUAAAAGGUGAAAAGAAAGAUUUUGUACUACUAUUUCUCUAACAAAACCCC
rnacentral:lncRNA from 1 species